rnacentral:RNase_P_RNA from 1 species
GAAGCUGGCUAGACAGUCGCCGCUUGCAAGUUUUAUCAAGCAAGGGGAGGAAAGUCCGGGCUCCAUAGAGUGGGAUGGCGGCUAACAGCCGUCUGCCGUAAGGCAAGGAAUAGGGCCACAGAGACGAACGUAUUCAGUUACGGUGAAACGCGGUAACCUCCAUCCGGAGCAAGACCAAAUAGGCAGGCAAUGACGCUACUCGCUGAGCCUGCGGGUGGGUUGCUUGAGCAUGCAAGUAAUUACAUGCCUAGAGGAAUGACUGUUCACGACAGAACCCGGCUUAUCGGCUGGCUUCACUU